rnacentral:lncRNA from 1 species
GAGGAGCUCGGGUAGAGUCGGAUUGUCGUCGACGUCAUGCCAUGGUGCCGUUCGAGCGUGCAUUCGUCGUGGUAGCGCCGUGGGGAGGCCGGACGAGCGUGUGGUUCCGCUUCUGUCGACUUCUCGCCGUGGUUAGACGUGCUUUCGAGGUGGGUUAAAAUGAUGCUUACCGGAUUCUACGGGUUUCCUUCUAAUUCUACAUAUGUCGACAGUAUAUGUUUUUAGCUUUGUUUAGUACAUUGUUUAGCUCGAUUCUUGAAAUUGCAUGUUUUUUAACUUGAAUUGAAGCGUAGAAAAUUAGCUAAAAUAUGCAUGUUGGACUUGGAUUUGACUUAGGAGAAAACUGAUGUUUCUACACCGC